rnacentral:lncRNA from 1 species
AAAAAGAACCUCAUAGUUAUCUGGUAAAAGUUGAUAGAGCUUUUAAAAUCAAUACUCAACUAAUUCUUAUAAAAGAAAAACUAUGAUGUUAGCAAUAAGUUUUUUUUUUCUGUAAUGACUGCAUCAUCCUUUUUCCCUGUGCCUACCUAACACUAUCAGUGUUUAUAACAGAAUUAGAAGAAUCUGUAAUAUGCAGUACAAAUUAAUAUUAUGAUUCUCAUUUUACUUUCAUUAUUUCUAAUUAGUGAUUAUGUAACUUUUUUCCUUUUUCUUUGCAUGUGUAUUCUUUACUUUUUAUAUUGCCUGGAUAAAUCAAUCAUUUUUUCCUAACUGAAUUUUUCUCCAAUUAUUUGCCUGAAGAAUUUUCAUAUUUACUCAUAUAUAAGGAACCUGAUUAAAGAGCAGUAGAUUGAACUAUACUUAAUAUUGACAAAUUGAAUAUGAAAUUUUAUUUUUGAGGGAAGGUAUAACAAGGUAAUUUCCAAAUACUUCCUUUGUGAAAACCAUGAUGCCAUUUGCUAAAAGAAACAACAAAAAUCAUUAUGUACCUUUAAAUUUAAAUCUUCAUUUUGAUGGUAUUUAUAGUCUCAUCUUUGAAUUUCAAGACUAGAAAUACUAGUCUCUCAAUUUUUUUUUUUGUCUAUUUAAAACAAUUAGCAAGCAGAUAUUAACAAAAUGCUGCAUAGCUUGGCCAAGCAUACUCAUGGUUUCUUUGUUCAUCUCUGCAUUUCCUGUGAAACUAAAAUUUUAUUGAUAUUUGAAAAUGAUGGUGGUUUCCCAGGAAAGCACAUUGUGUAGGUGUUUGUAAGGAGCAAAGUAUUUACUAAUGACAAAGUAGUAAACCACUUCCAAGAUGAAAAUUGAUUUCUAUUUAUUUUGCUUCAAAGGUCCUGAAAAAAU